UCCGGUUGAUCCUGCCGGAGGCUACCGCUAUUGGAGUUCGAUUAAGCCAUGCGAGUCGCGAGAAAUUAGAUUCUCGGCGUACCGCUCAGUAACACGUGGGUAACCUGCCCUAUGCUGGAUAAUAACCUCGGGAAACUGAGAAUAAUGAUCCAUAGUUCACUACGCCUGGAACGGUGAGUGGAUGAAAGCUCCGGCGGCAUAGGAUGGGCCUGCGGCGUAUCAGGUUGUAGGGGGUGUAACGUACCCUCUAGCCCUCUACGCGUACGGGUGUUGGGAGACAUAGCCCGGAGAUGGAUUCUGAGACACGAAUCCAGACCCUACGGGGUGCAGCAGGCGCGAAAACUUGGCAAUGCGAGAAAUCGUGACCAGGGAACUCCAAGUGCAUCGGGUAAGACCGGUGCUUUUCUUGACUCUAAAAAGGUCUUGGAAUAAGGGGUGGGUAAGGACGGUGCCAGCCGCCGCGGUAAUACCGGCGCCUCAAGUGGUAGUCGCUUUUAUUGGGCCUAAAACGUCCGUAGCCGGUCUGAUACAUUCGUGGGUAAAUCAACCAGCUCAACUGGUUGAAUUCUGCGAGGACGGUCAGACUUGGGACCGGGAGAGGUGUGGGGUACGCUCAGGGUAGGGGUAAAAUCCUGUCAUCCUGAGCGGACCACCUGUUGCGAAGGCGCCACACUAGAACGGAUCCGACGGUCAGGGACGAAGCCUAGGGGCACGAACCGGAUUAGAUACCCGGGUAGUCCUAGGUGUAAACGCUGUGGACUUGA
rnacentral:rRNA from 1 species